rnacentral:rRNA from 1 species
AUUGAACGCUGGCGGCAUGCUUUACACAUGCAAGUCGAACGGUAACAGGCCGCAAGGUGCUGACGAGUGGCGAACGGGUGAGUAAUGCAUCGGAACGUGCACAGUCGUGGGGGAUAACUACUCGAAAGAGUAGCUAAUACCGCAUACGAUCUAUGGAUGAAAGCGGGGGACCGUAAGGCCUCGGGCGAUUGGCGCGGCCGAUGUCAGAUUAGGUAGUUGGUGGGGUAAGGGCUCACCAAGCCAACGAUCUGUAGCUGGUCUGAGAGGGCGACCAGCCACACUGGGACAGAGACACGGCCCAGACUCCUACGGGAGGCAGCAGUGGGGAAUUUUGGACAAUGAGCUCAAGCCGGAUCCAGCAAUGCCGCGUGCAGGAAGAAGGCCUUCGGGUUGUAAACUGCUUUUGUACGGAACGAAACGGCUCUGGUUAAUACCCGGGGCUAAUGACGGUACCGUAAGAAUAAGCACCGGCUAACUACGUG